rnacentral:lncRNA from 10 species
AAAAUUUUAAAGGUGCUGAGAAAAGCCCAGGGCUCACAGCUGGUUUCAGCAACUUCAACUUGCGUAAGACCCCGUGUUUGUGAAAACAACCCAAGAAUCUUUGAACAGGAUGUAAUCAACCUCCGAACUGCUGAGAAAUAUUGCAAAAAUGACUUCAGCUGCCAAAAAUAAUGUCGUUUACAAGCAGCUCUUCCUAUGUCUAAGGAAGAACUAGUCACACAUGCGAGUUUUUGCUGGCUUGAGAACAAGCAAGGAAAAAGACAAAUCCCACCUACCCUAGCCUAAAAUACACAGUGAGUCUCAGAACCCCGCGGAAGCUGUGGCUCAUUUCUAAAGGUGCUGGCAAUAUCGAGGAAGACUUGUAUCCACAAAAUUCCAAAUGGAAAAGAGAGAAAAGAGAACAACAAACAGAUGUGUGAAAAAAAGACACGAAGUACAAAACGGAUGUAUUAAUGGCAAAUAUUAAAUAAUCAAGUCAUUAUUGUGAAUUUGGAUCUAAAUGACCUGGCAGAAACCAUGGAGAUGAUCUUGGAUUUAAAGAGGAAAAACUCAAAGCAAUGUAUUCUGAUCAAGAAAUGGCAGGAAAUGGCAGCUACCUGAUAUGGAACAAUCAACAACUGAAGGUUUAUUUUGAAUGAGAGGUGUUGUCCAACUGCGAGACGGAGUGAUUGAAGCUGAGAAUAAAUGGAAACACAAUCAAUAGUCACUCCAGUGAGGUAGGAAAGAAAGCCAUUCCGAAGUGGCAGAGAAGCUGCUUUUUCCUCCUGCAUGCUGCCUGCUAGUGUGGAUCUUGGCAUAACAGACACUACUUGGCAAAAGAAACUGGCUGGAGAUGUAGCAGGGACGCAUCCAAGGUAAGGAGAUGCUUGGACAAUCCUGCAGCUGCAGCUCUGGGAUAUACCAGGCCAUCUGUCCUAGGAUGAGGCCUCAUUCACCUAGAAGAGGCUUGAUAAGACUGUAGCUAAGAGAGUGCAGUACAGGUAUAGAACAUUCCAAUUCAAUAAGAAAACGUGUGAUUUAUCAUGAGGCAAUAAAAUACAUACAUAAGAAUCUUUAGAUUGUAUCUCCAUUAUAAUAUCUACUAGAUAUCUGUUACAGCUCAAAUGCGAAUAAAAUGGGUAUAAUUUUAUGACAUUCCGGUCUGCUGUCUUGUGUCAAAAAAAGGAAGACAAAUUGAGGCAGAGGAACUGUGAACAGCUCUGCUCAUAGACCUUAAUUAUAGACACUAUUCUAUUUGCGCUUCCUAAAAACAGGAGGCAUCUGCACUUUUGGUCAUACAAUUGAAAGAGUUAAAAAGAGAGAGAAAUAAAGGAAGAGAAUAAGCUCAUUAACAGACCACUAAGAAACACGAGAGAGUAAUUUAUUUCUUGAUUUUAUAUUGAGUAGGAAUAAAUAAAUUUUACUGAAAAAAAUUUUUGAGUCAGUCUACCUUUUAGAGUUCUGAUAAUUUCACCUUCAUUAUCUAAGGAAAAAAAAGUCUCUAGUUAAU